AGCCUGGAAAUCAAAGAUAAUGUCGGGGCUCAUGGAAAUAAUCAUAGCUAUUAAUUAUGACUUAUAUCAUUAACUACAAUUAAUUACAUUGAUAACAGUAUUAAGCAUUUACUUUGUUCUAGGCCCUCUGAUCUAAGACUUUUUCCUAGAUUAUCUCAUGUGAUCCUCUCAAAACGUCUCUUAAAGCAAUGCAUUUAGCAUCCCAUUUUAUCAACAAGGCCAUGGGGACCCACAGAGGCAGCCCAGAUAGGAAGCUGUUCCAGCACUGAAAUCAGGCCAGGCUGGUGGCUCACACCUGUAAUCCCAGCACUUUGGGAGACAGAGUCAGGUGGAACAUUUGAUGUCAGGAGUUCAAGAACAGCCUGGCCAACAUGAUGAAACCCCUUCUCUACUAAAAGUAUAAAAAAUUAGCCAGGCGUGCUGGUGCAUGUCUCUAGUACAAGCUACUCAGGAGGCUGAGGCACAAGAAUCACUUGAACCUGGGAGGGGAAGGUGGCAGUGAGCUGAGAUUGUGCCAUUGCACUCCAGCCUGGGCAACAGAGCAAGACUCUCAAAAACAACAAAAAAAAGAAAUCAAUGAAUGUGUGACUUCCAAUUCCAAGCUGUGGCUGGAAGGGCUGACCUCACUCAUGUUUUCAAAAGUGAGUAUCUUUCCACUAGCCAGGUUAGAAUUGCUUCAGGCAAGCAAGAAAUUGGGGAAAGAGGAGUGGAAGCAGCCCUCUUCUCCUUGCCCCAGCCUGGGACUAUGGUGUGGCAGUGCAGGGCUCUCAGCCUAGAUCUUGGCCUGUGCAUUUGUGGCCACUUAGAAGCUGAAUUCUGGACUCUUCCUCCUCCCACAUUCUCGGGAGCAGAUCCAGUCUUUGAGAGAAUAACUUUCACCAUCAUUCCCAGAUCCCAAACCAAACAUGAAUUGUGAAAUAAUCAGCUUAAUUGUAGAGUCAGUAGGAGCACACACAUCCAACAUACACAUACACUACCCAUACACACAUCAGAGGCUCCACAGGUACCCUCUGUUGGCAAAGACCAGCCCAGGUCACUUUUAACUUACAUAUUUAUUUUGGAGAGACAGAGUCUCACUCUGUCCCCCAGACUGGAAUGCAGUGGUUUAAUCACAGCUCGCUGCAGUCUCAACCUCCUGAACUCAAGCAAUCCUUACACCACAGCCUCCCUACAAACUGGGAUUACAGGCAUGCCACCAUACCCAGCUAAUUUUUUUAAUUUUAAUUUUUUGCAGAGACAUGUUGAAAGAAAAACCUUAGCCAAAUUAAACUUAACACAGUUUAAUUGAGCAAAGAAUGCUUUGCGAAUCGGGCAGACUCCCAAGCCAGAGUAGCUCAGAGAGACUCCAGUGCAACCACGUAGUGGACGAUUUAUAGACAGGAAAAGAAAAGUAGCCGGGCGCUGUGGUUCACGCCUGUAAUCCCAGCACUUUGGGAGGCCGAGGCGGGUGGAGCACCUGAGGUUGAGAGUUAGAGGCCAACCUGACCAACAUGGAGAAACCUUAUCUUCACUAAAAAUAUGAAAAUUGGCCGGGCAUGGUGGCGUAUGCCUGUAAUCCCAGCUACUUAGGAGGCUGAGCCAGGCGAAUCCCUUGAACCCAGAAGUCAUGGGUUUUGGUGAGCCAAGAUUGCGUUGUUGCACUCCAGCCUGGGCAACAAGAGCGAGACUCCAUCUCAAAAAAAAAAAGAAAGAAAAGUAAUGAAUAGAAAACAGAAGUGAGGUACAGAAACAGUUGGGUUGGCUACAGCUUGGCAUUUGCCUUAUUUGAACACGGUUUGAACAGUUGGCCCCCUUUGAUUGGCCAGAACUCACUGAUUGGCACAAAGGCAGGUUAUAGUCGGUUUACACCUCCGUUUAGGUUGUAUGUAGUUCACUAUGAGAAAUCUUCAGGCUGAACUUAAAAUAGGUAAGGAGGGGCUGGGCACGGUGGCUCACGCCUAUAAUCUCAGCACUUUGGGAGGCUGAGGCGGGUGGAUCACCUGAGGUCAGGAGUUCAAGACCAGCCUGACCAAAUACAAAAAAUUAGCUGGGCAUGAUGGUGCGCGCCUGUAAUAGCAGCUACUUGGGAGGCUGAGGCAGGAGAAUUGCUUGAAUUUGGGAGGCAGAGGUUGCAGUGAGCUGAGAUAUGCCACUGUACUCCAGCCUGGGCAACAAGAGUAAAAUUCCAUUUCAAAAAAAAUAAAAAUAAUAAUAGUAAUUAAAUGUGGUAGCAGUUGUUCUCAAGGAUUUUCAUCUUGCAGCCUGUAUCCUUUCCUGUUGUUGCUGUCACCAGUUAUACUCACAAGCAGAGUGGUUUUACACAGCACAGAUCAUCUCACUGUUCUGGAGGUCAGAAGUCAGAAAUGGGUCAGCAGGGCUGCUUGUCCUUGUGGAGGGUAUAGGGGGGAGUCCAUGUCCUUUUCAGGCUUCUAGAGGCUGCCUGUGUUCCUUGGCUUGCAGCCCCUUCCUCUGUCUGCAAAGCCCCUUCCUCUGUCUGCAGCAGGGUGCACCUUCAGCCCUUCUCCUCCUCUCUCACACACACUUCUGCCCCCAUCAUCACAUCAUCGUCUUUGUCUCUGGUCCUCCUGCCUCCCUCUUAUAAGGACCUCAUGAUUAUACUGGGCCCAUUCAGGUAAUCCAGGACAACAUUUCUAUUUUAAAAUGCUUAGUGACAUCCGCCAAGUCCUUUUUUUCCCUAGAAGGUAGCAUAUCCACAGAUCUCAAAGAUUAAAAGAUGGGUAUCUUUAAGGACCGUCUAACCAUCCUGCCAGCUGCUUAAACUGCAGCAGGUGGCAGGUCAUGGUGGCAUGCACCUAUAGUUCCAGCUACUCAGGAGGCUGAGGUGGGAGGAUUGCUUGAGCCUAGGAGGUCAAGGCUAUAGUGUGGAGUGAUGGGGUCUGUGAAUAGCCAUUGCUCUUAAGCCAGGACAACACAGCAAGACCCCAUCUCAAAAAAAUAACUCCAGCAAAUAUCCUUCCAUUCCAUAUCACCCAUCAAAACAAACAAACAAAAAACUAAAAGAGCAUUAGGACAUGCAUGAUGCUAAAUCAGAAGGUAAAGCCAAAUUUUCCCCUUCUUCUGCCUUACCUGGUAAUAAAGCAGUGUUACAGGAGGGGCUGCUGGGAAAAGUCAAAGAGACUGGAAGAAGAGCAGGGAAAGAAGGACUAGGGCAGCUAGGAGAAGAGGGAAGGGCUUAGUGACAAUACGGGCCUCUCGACCAUGCCCAAAUACCUACCCAGUCUCCCUGCUACUUUCUGGACUUUCUAGGACUGGAACCCUGGUUCCUUCCCUUUUGAAUCAAGAGACCUCAGUGUCCCUGAUAGACUUACAGGUCAGCACUUCCUCUUCCCAGCCCCCAGCAUUGCCUUACAAUCCUGCCUGUAGGCCACCUGGGAAAGACGAAGAAAUAGAAACUGCACUAAAAGGCUAGACCCUUGCCUGUUGAGAUUUCUGCUGAUUACCUUUGGAACUUUUCUGAAAUCCCAGCCUCAAGGCUGUGAAUUCUGUUUGUGGGUGUGAUAGUCUGCUAGGGCUGCCAUAACAAAGUACCAUAGAUGGGGUGCCUUAAACAAUGGAGCUUAUUUCCUGACAGUUCUGGAAGCUGGAAACCCAAGAUCAAGUAUCAGCAAGGUGGCUUCUUCUGAGGCCUCUCUCCUUGGCUUGCAGAUGGCCGGCCUCUCUCCUUGGCUUGCAGGUGGCCGGCCUCUCUCCUUGGCUUGCAGGUGGCCGGCCUCUCUGUCCUCACUGGGUCUGUGUAUGUAGAUCCUGCCGUCUGUCUUCUUAGAAGGACUCCUGUCAUAUUGGAUUAUGACCCUAAUGACCCAAUUUUAACUUAAUCAUCUCUUUAAAGAUGCUGUCUCUCAAGACAGUUACAGUCUGAGAGUUAGGACUUCAACAGAUGCAUUUGUUGGGGUAUGGGGACACAAGUGGCCCAUAGCAUUGGGCUAAGACCCUGGGAGAUUAAGAAAGAUCACUCCAUUCUUCCCAGCUGUCACAGGUGGACUAGGCCCACUGAGGACAGAUGCUGGGAGAGGGGGGCCAAGCUGUUAACUUUAAAAGUGUACCCCACAACCCGGAACUGCCUUUGCAUAGCUAUGUUGGGUUAAGGUUGGGAAAAAGCCAGAAAAGGUCAAAGCCGCCAAAAGCCCAGGCUUAGUCUGUGUAAGGAAACACCAGCAUUUAUGGCUCACAGUCACCAGUGCCAACUCCCUGCAGGUUAUUUAUUUGAUGCGCAAUUCACAGCUAGUCCCUCAGAUUCCACACACAGCUAGUCCCCCAAGUCCAUACACACCCCGGACACAGAGGAAAUCAAGGGGCAGCUAGCGAGUGUUUGUGUCGGAUGUUCUUUGAAAGGGCUGUUUGAUAGAUAUGAUUUCAUUCCCAAGGCAUGGCUCUGAUGCAGAAGUCAAACAGCCUGCAAGUUGAAACAAACCAAAUAGCCUUAUCUUAUUCUUGAUUCAUGGGUUCCUCUGUCUUCAAAGCCCCUUAAAGGCCAUUCUCUGCAAAUUGUAACUUGUUAAAGUAAUUGCUGCUGCAAAGUCCUUCCUGGGACAGGUUGUCUUUGUCUUACAGGAUCUGAAUUCGCUGACAUUUUUUCUUGACAAACGUUUGCUAGACUCUGGUCAAACUCACAAGCCAACAUAGGUUUAAAUAAAGGCAUAAAUUAUUUAAUUGCACUUUUCUUUUUUUUUGAGACAGUUUCAUUUUUGUCACCCAGGUUGGAUUCAAUGGCGCAAUCUUGGCCCACUGUAACCUCCACCUUCCAGGUUCAAGCAAUUCUCCUACCUCAACCUCCUGAGUAGAUGGGAUUACAGGCGCCCACCACCACACUCAGCAA